UACGUAGGGGGCUAGCGUUGUCCGGAUUUAUUGGGCGUAAAGAGCUCGUAGGCGGCCUGUUGCGUCCGCUGUGAAAUCCCGGGGCUCAACCCCGGGCCUGCAGUGGAUACGGGCUGGCUAGAGGCAGGCAGGGGAGAACGGAAUUCCUGGUGUAGCGGUGAAAUGCGCAGAUAUCAGGAGGAACACCGGUGGCGAAGGCGGAUCUCUGGGCCGAUACUGACGCUGAGGAGCGAAAGCGUGGGGAGCGAACAGG
rnacentral:rRNA from 1 species